rnacentral:lncRNA from 1 species
ACCGGCCUUCAAACAUCCAUCGCCCCGCCCAGUCCUUUGUGAUGCCCCCUCACAUUGUGCUUGAAUUCCAUGAGAUAGCCCUGAAGAAUAUCCAUGCUUACCAUAAAUGUUCUCCUUUACAUUCAAGCUAGUGAUAUUUCUGCACCUUCCAAACAAAGGAGACCUAACUUUAAGACAGAUGCUCCCUAUAAGUGCAGCUGAAACUGCAGUUGGAGGGCAGAUCAGAACAGGGAUUUUCGGAUGGUGCCAAGGAGAUGACAGAAUAUACCCUUUCGAGGAUUCAAGAAGGAUCAGUGAAGCCCAGUCUUCCCAUGGCAGCCUCCCACGCCGGCGGGUCCAAUUCCAUAUGGCAGCGACUCACAAGUUUAGAAAUACCUACAUAUCUAACAUUCAAAAAAUCAGACCAGUCAUGACAGAACUUGGAGAUCAAGAUGGAUUUUAAUUAAACAUAGAGAGAAAUAACCCAUUCUGCUUCACUUUUUCAUCUAUACAAUAAAUGGGCUUUGGUAUUUUAACGACCUUUCUAGCUCACUAGAGGGGUCAGAA